rnacentral:tRNA from 2 species
AAGAAAGUGGCAGAGUGGCUAUGUGGUUGGCUUGAAACCAAUUUAUGGGGGUUCAAUUCCUUCCUUUCUCG